GACGGAAGGUGCAAGCGUUGCUCGGAAUCACUGGGCGUAAAGGGUGCGUAGGCGGCCGUGCAAGUCUGGCGUGAAAGCCCCGGGCUCAGCCCGGGAAGUGCGCUCGAAACUGCGCGGCUCGAGUGCCGGAGGGGAGAGUGGAAUUCCUGGUGUAGCGGUGAAAUGCGUAGAUAUCAGGAGGAAUACCGGUGGCGAAAGCGGCUCUCUGGACGGCAACUGACGCUGAGGCACGAAAGCGUGGGGAGCAAACAGG
rnacentral:rRNA from 1 species